CGGAGGUGGCGAGCGUUGUCCGAAGUUACUGGGCGUAAAGCGCGCGUAGGCGGGUUGUUAAGUGAGGGGUGAAAGGCUGAGGCUCAACCUCAUGUUUUGUCCUCUCAUACUGGCAGUCUUGAGUGAGGCAGGGAGAAGUGGAAUGGCUGGUGUAGCGGUGAAAUGCGUAGAUAUCAGUCGGAACACCGGUGGCGAAGGCGGCUUCUUGGGCCUUUACUGACGCUGAGGCGCGAAAGCUGGGGGAGCGAACGGGAUUAGAUACCCCGGUAGUCCCAGCCGUAAACGAUGGACACUAGGUGUCGGGGGUAUCGACCCCUCCGGUGCCGCAGCUAACGCAUUAAGUGUCCCGCCUGGGGAGUACGGCCGCAAGGUUG
rnacentral:rRNA from 1 species